UACGGGGGGGGCAAGCGUUGUUCGGAAUUACUGGGCGUAAAGGGCUCGUAGGCGGCCAACUAAGUCGGAUGUGAAAUCCCCAGGCUCAACCUGGGAACUGCAUCCGAUACUGGAUGGCUUGAAUCCGGGAGAGGGAUGCAGAAUUCCAGGUGUAGCGGUGAAAUGCGUAGAUAUCAGGAGGAACACCGGUGGCGAAGGCGGGUCUCUGGGCAAUAACUGACGCUGAGGAGCGAAAGCGUGGGGAGCGAACAGG
rnacentral:rRNA from 1 species